AUGUUCUGGUUCAGCAGGAUAAAAUGCUCCCAGUGGUUGGAUCUUUGUGGUAAUAACGCUGCUGCGGUCCUUGGCUUGUUCUCUUUCUUUGGUAAGAGCAGCCAAUCUAGCCUCGAGCGUUCCAUUUGUGAAAAUGACGGAUCUAUAUUGGUUGCCAACAUCCGGUCCUUGUCCGAAGACCUCCCGUGGAUCGUGGCUUGCCCAGAACACAUCCAAAAGCUGCUUGUACUGAAUCUGACGGGGAUCAUAUUCGACCUGAACGGGUGAAGGGCAAGCAGAAGUCAAAGCCGGUCAUGGUAGCUCAGAAAUUACUCAAGCGCUGAUUAG
rnacentral:rRNA from 1 species